CCUACGGGAGGCAGCAGUGGGGAAUAUUGCGCAAUGGGGGAAACCCUGACGCAGCCACGCCGCGUGUGUGAUGAAGGCCUUCGGGUUGUAAAGCACUGUCGAGGGGGAAGAAGAAUGACGGUACCCCUCAAGAAAGCACCGGCUAACCCUGUGCCAGCAGCCGCGGUAAUACAGGGGGUGCAAGCGUUGCUCGGAAUCACUGGGCGUAAAGCGUACGCAGGCGGACCAUUAAGUUGGGCGUGAAAGCCCGGGGCUCAACCCCGGAAAUGCGCUCAAAACUGGUGGUCUUGAGUACGGGAGAGGUGAGUGGAAUUCCUGGUGUAGAGGUGAAAUUCGUAGAUAUCAGGAGGAACAUCGGUGGCGAAAGCGGCUCACUGGCCCGAUACUGACGCUCAUGUACGAAAGCGUGGGGAGCAAACAGGAUUAGAUACCCUGGUAGUCCACGCCGUAAACGAUGAGUGCUAGCUGGUGGGAGACCUUAUUUCUCUCAGUGGCGUAGCUAACGCGUUAAGCACUCCGCCUGGGAAGUACUGCCGCAAGGCUAAAACNCAAAGGAAUUGACGG
rnacentral:rRNA from 1 species